rnacentral:misc_RNA from 1 species
AAGGAUCAUUAUUGAUUGAUUAAAGGGAUGUGCUGGCAAGAAUCUUUUUUGCAUUGUGCACUCCUGAAAUCUUCAUCCACUUGUGCCACUUUGUAGACAAAAAGUCAAUGAAAUAAUUUUAUUGCUUUUGUCUAUGUCCUUUUAUACACAUUUAUCAAUUAUUGAAUGGUGUCUGACUUAUUGAAAGUCAAAAAAUUAAUACAACUUUCAACAAUGGAUUUCUUGGUUCUC